rnacentral:rRNA from 1 species
GACGAACGCUGGCGGCGUGCUUAACACAUGCAAGUCGAACGGAAAGGCCCUGCUUUUGUGGGGUGCUCGAGUGGCGAACGGGUGAGUAACACGUGAGUAACCUGCCCUUGACUUUGGGAUAACUUCAGGAAACUGGGGCUAAUACCGGAUAGGAGCUCCUGCUGCAUGGUGGGGGUUGGAAAGUUUCGGCGGUUGGGGAUGGACUCGCGGCUUAUCAGCUUGUUGGUGGGGUAGUGGCUUACCAAGGCUUUGACGGGUAGCCGGCCUGAGAGGGUGACCGGCCACAUUGGGACUGAGAUACGGCCCAGACUCCUACGGGAGGCAGCAGUGGGGAAUAUGGCACAAUGGGCGGAGGCCUGAUGCAGCAACGCCGCGUGCGGGAUGACGGCCUUCGGGUUGUAAACCGCUUUCGCCUGUGACGAAGCGUGAGUGACGGUAAUGGGUAAAGAAGCACCGGCUAACUACGUG